rnacentral:rRNA from 1 species
CUGAGUGGCGAACUGGUGAGUAACACGUGGGAAUCUGCCCAGAAGCAGGGGAUAACACUUGGAAACAGGUGCUAAUACCGUAUAACAACAAAAUCCGCAUGGAUUUUGUUUGAAAGGUGGCUUCGGCUAUCACUUCUGGAUGAUCCCGCGGCGUAUUAGUUAGUUGGUGAGGUAAAGGCCCACCAAGACGAUGAUACGUAGCCGACCUGAGAGGGUAAUCGGCCACAUUGGGACUGAGACACGGCCCAAACUCCUACGGGAGGCAGCAGUAGGGAAUCUUCCACAAUGGACGAAAGUCUGAUGGAGCAAUGCCGCGUGAGUGAAGAAGGGUUUCGGCUCGUAAAACUCUGUUGUUAAAGAAGAACACCUUUGAGAGUAACUGUUCAAGGGUUGACGGUAUUUAACCAGAAAGCCACGGCUAACUACGUGCCAGCAGCCGCGGUAAUACGUAGGUGGCAAGCGUUGUCCGGAUUUAUUGGGCGUAAAGCGAGCGCAGGCGGUUUUUUAAGUCUGAUGUGAAAGCCUUCGGCUUAACCGGAGAAGUGCAUCGGAAACUGGG